ACUAAACCAACUCCCUCUAUCUUCCUGCUGCCAGAGAAGGAGCCAGCCUGCCCCCGAAGGAGGGUGGAUUUACAAGUGUCAGCCGUGCAGACGCCAGCCUGUGUCAGCCGGGUGUCUGGGGAGGUAGACGGAGGCACAGGGCACAGGUGGGAAAUAUUCCCACAGCUGUCCUCACACUUACCCAUCUGUCACGAUGACUUCAUCAGAGCCUGAGCUGGGGGUGUGGCUGACCUCAUCUUCCCACCUCCCGGAGUGUGGUGAGCAGAAUCCUGACCUGUUAAAAGUAUUAACUCAGCAGCCCCACGCCUGGCCUGAAUCUCAGGCAGCGAGCUCCUUCUGCUCAUUUUCUGAGUCUCUGCCUGCUGUUAAAGUUCCCCUUUUAGCUGAUAAGGAAAAUGAGCCCAUAGAGUGACUUCCCUUGCCCCGGAGACACACAGCAUGUGCUGAGAGCUGGACUGGUCUCUCCUUGGCCACUGCCCUGCCUCUUCAGUGCAUUCUCUGCAAAGCCACUAGAGGGUGCCUGUGAGCACCUGACUCAGGUCCUGUUCCUCCUCUGUCCACAGCCCUCUAUGGCUCCCACCUCCCUCAAGGUCAAGACCCAAGUCCUUCCUGCAGCCCAUGACGGCCCGCACGACCUGUCCCGUCCCCUCCUUCCCCUCCCCUCCUCCCUCUCUACCCCUAGCUCACUCUAUUCCAGCCACAUGGGCCUCCUUGCUAUUCCUCCAACAUGCCAGGUGUGGUCCUGCCCCAGGGCCUUUGCAUGCAUGGUGCCCAUAGCCUGGGAUGCUGUUCCCUGGAGAUCUUCAUAGAGCACUUGCUCUAAUCAGCUCGGGAUGAGCAAGGGA
rnacentral:lncRNA from 10 species